CGAAAGCCUGAUCCAGCAAUACCGCGUGCAGGAAGAAGGCCUUCGGGUUGUAAACUGCUUUUGUACGGAACGAAACGGUCUGGAUUAAUACUCUGGGCUAAUGACGGUACCGUAAGAAUAAGCACCGGCUAACUACGUGCCAGCAGCCGCGGUAAUACGUAGGGUGCAAGCGUUAAUCGGAAUUACUGGGCGUAAAGCGUGCGCAGGCGGUUUUGUAAGACAGGCGUGAAAUCCCCGGGCUCAACCUGGGAAUUGCGCUCGUGACUGCAAGGCUAGAGUACGGUAGAGGGGGGUAGAAUUCCG
rnacentral:rRNA from 1 species